rnacentral:rRNA from 1 species
UACGUAGGUCACGAGCGUUAUCCGGAUUUACUGGGCGUAAAGCGUGUGCAGGCUGUUAGGUAAGUGGUGUAUGAAAGCGCUCGGCUUAACCGGGCGAGGUUAUGCCCGACUGCCUAGCUAGAGGCAGCCAGAGGGACAUGGAAUUCCGGGUGUAGCGGUGAAAUGCGUAGAGAUCCGGAGGAACACCAGAGGCGAAGGCGGUGUCCUAGGGCUGACCUGACGCUCAGACACGAAAGCAUGGGGAGUGAACGGG